rnacentral:rRNA from 1 species
AGUGAACGCUGGCGGCAGGCCUAAUACAUGCAAGUCGAACGGCAGCACAGCAGAGCUUGCUCUGUGGGUGGCGAGUGGCGGACGGGUGAGGAAUACGUGGGAAUCUGCCCAGUCGUGGGGGAUGACGUAGGGAAACUUACGCUAAUACCGCAUGCGUCCUUCGGGGGAAAGCCGGGGACCUUCGGGCCUGGCGCGAUUGGAUGAGCCCACGUCGGAUUAGCUAGUUGGCGGGGUAAAGGCCCACCAAGGCGACGAUCCGUAGCUGGUCUGAGAGGAUGAUCAGCCACACUGGAACUGAGACACGGUCCAGACUCCUACGGGAGGCAGCAGUAGGGAAUAUUGGACAAUGGGCGCAAGCCUGAUCCAGCCAUGCCGCGUGAGUGAAGAAGGCCCUCGGGUUGUAAAGCUCUUUUGUCCGGAAAGAAAAGCGCCGGGUUAAUACCCUGGUGUCCUGACGGUACCGGAAGAAUAAGCACCGGCUAACUUCGUGCCAGCCGCCGCAGUAACAC